ensembl:lncRNA
AGGAAGGCAUUCCCUGGAGGAACGAGAACCUGCCCCUGCCCGACUUGGCUCCAGGGAGGCCGGGGGCGAGGGAAGGGAGCACCUUCCCCGGGGUGGGGCGACCUGCCCCCUGGUGCCGGUGACCUCCGCAUGGCUGUGGCCGUCCCCCAUGAGUCUUCUGCAAGGAGCCCCGCAGAAGGCCCGGACUGAAAAUCAAUACCCUAAAGCUGAAAUCGAUAGCGGCAGCUCCUGGUGGAGAGAGGGGCUUCUGGCAGAGGCCUCACACCCCCACCCCGGGACAGAGGAAGAACCCAGAUGUUGGGCACGUUCCAGACCUCAGCUCCUUCCCACCCGCCGGCCCCUCCCUCGGUACGGGACACCGAGCCAGCGCCAGCCCCACCACCCGGGAGCCCACAGCCCUCACUCAGGUGCAGCAGGGACAGAGGCUGGGAGCAGCCGAGACAGUGGGUGCCGGGCGCCCCCCGAGCCAGCUCUGACCAGCCAUGAUGACACCAGGGGAUGCCCAGCAGCUUCCAGAGCGGGGCAGGGGUGGGCAGGCCAUGCUGUCCCGACGGUGCCUGAGGUUCAGGCCAUGCCACUUCCUGUCCUCGAGCUGGGGAGGACCAGCCCUGCAGGAGUCCAGUCUGCUUCCUUGCUGCCUCUUGCAGAGCCUGGAAGCCCAGAGCCAGGCAUGGGGGGCACACGUGGGGACUGCCCAUUCCACCAGCCUCCGCCGACGCCCUGGCGGCUCCUGGUCACACUCCAUGGACACCCUGCCCUUGACCCUGACUCCCAGAGAGGCCUCUGCCUGGGACCAAGAGGCCAGCGAGUGACCCUGGGCAAGGGUCAGGGCUCACACGCCCUGAGACGUCUUCAGUAUCCUUGGACGCCAGGGCGUGUGGCUGGCUGGGGCCUAGGCAGACAGGGACACUUCAGGGACCCACAGCGAGCUGGGCCAAGUUCCCGGCAGCCCUGCAGGGCCAGCGGGCCGCGGGGUGCCUUCCUGUGGGGCUGGGCAGACACGGACCGUCCAGCCUCUGUCCUCUCCUGUGGCCUCAGUCACGGCCUUGCCGCUCCCGCCUGCCCAGAGUCCCCAGAGGAGAGGGAGGCUGGGGUGAGUGGAGGACCAGCCCUGCAGGGCAGCAGAGUCUGCUUCAUCUCUCCAGUGACGGGGAGCUCACCGCCCCCAGGGUAGAGGGAGCCGGGCCCUGCACUGAGGCCGAAUCCGCCUCUGUCCCCUUCCAUCGCCCUUGAUCCUGGUUCUCCCCGACACACUCUCCAGGGGCCACUGGGUGCCCUUUUCCGCAGGGCCACACUCAGGC